GUCACAUUCAUGAAAGGGAAGGGGAUUGUAGUUACCAUGUAAGGAACAUAUCCGAUAUCAUUUGUGAAACGGUUAUUCCAUAACGGUCAACCAACUCGUGAUGGCGUCCGUAAAAUUUACGAAGGGAUGAUUUCAACUUCACCAUUUGGAACUCUUGGUUCAAUAGCUUCCUUGUGAGCAGCAACCCUCUAUCAAGAAAAUCAUGAUAGGAAAUGCAAGCACGGGAAUAUCGUAUCAAUUGGGAGAUAUAUACCCCGUAUGCAGGUGCUGCUGGAAUGUUGCUACUUAGAAAUGGAAAGUUCACAAUUGGAAAGCUGAAAUCAUC
rnacentral:lncRNA from 1 species